rnacentral:rRNA from 1 species
GACGGAGGUGGCAAACGUUGCUCGGAAUCACUGGGCUUAAAGGGCGUGUAGGCGGCUUCUCAAGUCGGGUGUGAAAUCCCUCGGCCUAACCGAGGAAUGGCUCUCGAUACUGGGUGGCUAGAGUGCGGGAGGGGUAAGUGGAACUCCAGGUGUAGCGGUGAAAUGCGUAGAUAUCUGGAGGAACGCCGGUGGCGAAAGCGACUUACUGGCCCGCAACUGACGCUGAGGCGCGAAAGCUAGGGGAGCAAACGGG